rnacentral:rRNA from 1 species
UGGGGAAUUUUGGACAAUGGGGGCAACCCUGAUCCAGCGACGCCGCGUGAAGGAUGAAGGUCUUCGGAUUGUAAACUUCUUUUGGAGGGGAUGAAUGACCUGGUGAAUAGCCAGGAGUGACAGUACCCUCGGAAUAAGCCACGGCUAACUACGUGCCAGCAGCCGCGGUAAUACGUAGGUGGCAAGCGAUACUCGGAAUCACUAGGCGUAAAGCGCAGGUAGGAGGUUUGGUAAGUCUCUUGUGAAAGCUCCCGGCUUAACUGGGAGAGGUCAAGGGAAACUACUAGGCUAGAGUGCGGUAGAGGUAGCUGGAAUUCCCGGUGUAGCGGUGAAAUGCGUAGAUAUCGGGAGGAAUACCUAUGGCGAAAGCAGGCUACUGGACCGUCACUGACUCUGAUCUGCGAAAGCUAGGGGAGCAAAC